rnacentral:rRNA from 1 species
GACGAACGCUGGCGGCGUGCUUAACACAUGCAAGUCGAACGGAAAGGCCCUGCUUUUGUGGGGUGCUCGAGUGGCGAACGGGUGAGUAACACGUGAGUAACCUGCCCUUGACUUUGGGAUAACUUCAGGAAACUGGGGCUAAUACCGGAUAGGAGCUCCUGCUGCAUGGUGGGGGUUGGAAAGUUUCGGCGGUUGGGGAUGGACUCGCGGCUUAUCAGCUUGUUGGUGGGGUAGUGGCUUACCAGGGCUUUGACGGGUAGCCGGCCUGAGAGGGUGACCGGCCACAUUGGGACUGAGAUACGGCCCAGACUCCUACGGGAGGCAGCAGUGGGGAAUAUUGCACAAUGGGCGGAAGCCUGAUGCAGCAACGCCGCGUGCGGGAUGACGGCCUUCGGGCUGUAAACCGCUUUCGCCUGUGACGAAGCGUGAGUGACGGUAAUGGGUAAAGAAGCACCGGCUAACUACGUG